UAUUUUUUUUUUUUUUUGAAAUUGUCGGUAGAGAUUUUAGCUUUAUUGGUUUUUUAGAGCUGCAAAUUUUGAACUAAUUAAAAAUACAACUUUUAGAUUGCAAUGUACUUUUGAAAUAAUUUUAAUAUGAAAAUAUAAAACUAAAUGACCCAGAUGAGAAGAACAAGAGAACAGAACAACUAAUUCCGUGCACACGUCCGUUCAAUUUAAAGUACAAUCGCUCAACUGAAUUUGAGCAACAAAUCCCCAACAUGGUUUACCUACCUUCUUCCAUCUAAAUUCGAAUCAUGUUGUUGUACUUGUUGAGCGAGAUAUUCUCGUACUCAACGCAAUACAAUACAACUCAGCCCCUUGUUUGCCUGCCAAACAUUUGUAUUCUCCCUCUCUCAAAAUUGGUGCUCUUGUGCUACCAUUGCUACAGAUUUGAUGAGAUCAGACAACAGAAACGUAAUAGUGUUAAGUAAAAACGCGUUAAGUUUAAACGAGCCGAAUUCAUGCAUACCCUUCACCAAGGAUAACAUUUCUAAGUUGUUUGGACUAAAGAGAGAAAUAGCGAAGUCCACAUUCCAAAAAUUUGUUUAAUAUUCAUAUAAGAAUGGAGCUUCUCAAGUGCUCAAGAAUUCAAACCAGAAGAUCAAUAUAUGAACAACUAAAUUUCGCAUGAACAUUCCAUUGAGGAACAGGGGAUACUUCUCUCGCAUCAAUGAGUGCAGUCCGAGUAAAGUUUAAGCUCAAGCAUAAGGGGCCUCCUUUUUUAUGCCGAGUCCGAACGGCGUUUUAACAUGGCAGUAUACCUUACAAAUGUGGGCAGCAUUAUUUCUGGGAUAACCACCGCUGAAAAUUUUGUUGAUGUCCACGCCGGGACUUGAAACUAGGAGUUCGGCGGACAUGCUAACCUCUGCGCCACGGUGGCCUCCCAUUAAUAUAUGACAGCUAUACCAAAUUAUUAACCUAUUUCAAACUUACACUCAUGGAAACAAGUCUGCUGAUAAUAGAAAACACCAUUUGCUGACAGUUAGUAGUUAAUGUUGCUGCUAUUACAGCAGUAGUUCUGCUCAGGAUGUACUUAUAAGCAAAUCUAAAUGCCAAAGGCUUGAUAACACAGCUGUAAUUUUUCUAAAAUCUUAAAAAGGCAUUCCAUUUGGUCCGAUAUUUCACACUAAGCAACCAAACGGUGUUAUAAUGAUGAAAAUACAAAUGUAAAAUACUUUUGAAGAAGAUAAGUUGUUACACAAAGUUUAUUUUUAAAACCAA